rnacentral:sRNA from 1 species
GCUUCGAAGAUUGUUUCAGAAGCUUUGGGCGGCGGGCGUCUCUGAGAGAAAUUAGAGUAUUGUCAUAGGCAACAGUCCAGAACUCAAGAGAAUGAACUGAAAAUAAACGCUGUGUUUUCAGAGAGUGCUUCACAGUUGACUGCAGGCAUUCAGCUUUCUCUGGCAUCAUCUGGCAUGAAUAAAAUGCUUCCUUCAGUUUCAACCACAGCUAUUCAGGUUUCCUGUGCUGGUUGUAAAAAAAUUCUCCAGAAGGGGCAAACUGCUUAUCAGAGGAAAGGAUCUGCUCAACUUUUCUGCUCCAUACCAUGCAUCACUGAAUACAUUUCAUCUGCCAGUUCACCAGUUCCUUCUAAGAGAACUUGUUCAAACUGCUCAAAAGACAUUUUAAAUCCAAAGGAUGUGAUCAGUGUCCAGCUGGAAGACACUACCUCUUGCAAAACUUUUUGCAGCCUAUCUUGUCUUUCAUCAUAUGAAGAAAAAAGAAAACCAUUUGUUACCAUAUGUACUAAUAGCAUUUUGACCAAGUGCAGCAUGUGCCAGAAGACUGCUAUUAUUCAGUAUGAAGUAAAAUACCAAAAUGUGAAACAUAAUCUUUGCAGUAAUGCCUGCCUUUCAAAGUUUCACUCUGCUAACAACUUCAUCAUGAACUGCUGUGAGAACUGUGGCACUUACUGUUACACCAGCUCUAGUCUGUCCCACAUACUUCAGACGGAAGGACAGUCUCAUUACUUUAAUAGUUCAAAGAGUAUUACAGCAUAUAAGCAGAAACCUGCCAAACCACUUAUAUCUGUUCCUUGCAAACCAUUGAAGCCCUCAGAUGAAAUGAUUGAGACUACCAGUGAUUUGGGGAAGACAGAGCUUUUCUGCUCUAUUAAUUGUUUCUCUGCAUACAGUAAAGCUAAGAUGGAAUCUUCUUCAGUAAAUGUUGUUUCUGUGGUGCAUGAUACUUCAACAGAGCUUCUUUCUCCAAAGAAAGAUACGACUCCAGUUAUAAGCAAUAUAGUGUCAUUGGCAGACACCGAUGUUGCCUUGCCCAUCAUGAACACUGAUGUCUUACAAGAUACAGUUUCUUCAGUAACAGCAACAGCAGAUGUCAUUGUGGAUCUUUCUAAGAGUUCACCUAGUGAACCCAGUAGUGCUGUUGCUAGUAGUAGUAUGGAACAGCCAAGCAUUUCACCAUCUUCAUCAGUAUUCAGUCAGCAUGCAAUUGGUUCCAGUAUAGAAGUACAAAAAGACAAUAUGAAAUCUAUGAAAAUAAGUGAUGAACUAUGUCACCCAAAAUGUACAUCCAAAGUACAAAAAGUUAAAGGUAAAUCACGAAGUAUUAAAAAAUCUUGUUGUGCAGAUUUUGAGUGUUUGGAAAACAGUAAAAAAGAUGUGGCAUUCUGUUAUUCAUGCCAGUUGUUCUGCCAAAAAUAUUUUAGCUGUGGAAGAGAGUCAUUUGCAACCCACGGAACUUCUAAUUGGAAAAAAACCCUGGAAAAAUUCAGAAAGCAUGAAAAAAGUGAAAUGCAUUUGAAGUCAUUGGAAUUUUGGAGAGAAUACCAAUUUUGUGAUGGAGCUGUCAGUGACGAUUUAUCUAUUCAUUCGAAACAGAUUGAGGGAAAUAAAAAGUACCUAAAGCUUAUAAUUGAAAAUAUUUUAUUUCUUGGAAAGCAGUGUUUACCCUUAAGAGGAAACGACCAGUCAGUUUCAUCUGUGAAUAAAGGCAAUUUUUUAGAAUUGUUAGAAAUGAGAGCAAAAGAUAAAGGAGAAGAAACAUUUCGACUUAUGAAUUCACAAGUUGACUUCUAUAACAGUACACAAAUUCAAAGUGAUAUUAUCGAAAUAAUAAAGACUGAAAUGUUGCAGGAUAUUGUGAAUGAGAUCAAUGACUCCUCAGCGUUUUCAAUCAUAUGUGAUGAGACAACCAAUAGUGCCAUGAAAGAACAGCUUUCAAUUUGUGUAAGAUACCCACAAAAAUCAUCAAAGGCUAUCUUAAUUAAGGAAAGAUUCUUGGGUUUUGUUGAUACUGAGGAGAUGACUGGGACCCACUUACAUAGGACUAUCAAAACUUACCUGCAGCAAAUUGGAGUUGAUAUGGAUAAAAUACAUGGCCAGGCCUAUGAUAGCACCACUAAUUUGAGGAUAAAAUUUAAUAAAAUAGCAGCAGAAUUCAAGAAAGAAGAACCAAGAGCUUUAUACACACAUUGUUAUGCACACUUUUUGGAUUUAUCAAUAAUUAGGUUUUGUAAAGAAGUAAAAGAACUCCGAAGUGCUCUAAAAACUCUCAGUUCUUUGUUCAACACUAUUUGUAUGUCUGGGGAAAUGUUGGCAAAUUUUCGAAAUAUUUGUAGGCUAAGUCAAAACAAAACAUGCAAGAAACAUAUAUCACAAUCAUGUUGGACAGUCCAUGAUCGUACAUUACUAUCUGUGAUUGACAGUCUUCCAGAGAUUAUUGAAACAUUGGAAGUUAUAGCAAGCCAUUCUUCAAAUACAAGUUUCGCUGAUGAAUUGAGUCAUUUGCUGACAUUGGUUUCCAAAUUUGAAUUUGUCUUUUGUUUGAAAUUCCUGUAUCGAGUGCUGAGUGUUACAGGAAUUCUUUCCAAAGAGCUUCAAAAUAAAACCAUAGACAUUUUUUCUUUGUCUUCAAAAAUAGAAGCAAUUUUGGAAUGUUUAUCAUCUGAAAGAAAUGACGUAUACUUUAAAACAAUCUGGGAUGGAACAGAGGAAAUAUGUCAAAAAAUAACCUGUAAAGGUUUUAAAGUUGAAAAACCUUCUCUUCAGAAAAGAAGAAAAAUUCAGAAAUCAGUAGAUCUUGGCAAUUCAGAUAAUAUGUUUUUUCCUACUUCAACAGAAGAACAAUAUAAAAUUAAUAUCUAUUACCAAGGAUUAGAUACUAUAUUACAAAAUUUAAAGUUAUGUUUUUCAGAGUUUGAUUAUUGCAAAAUAAAGCAAAUUUCAGAACUGUUAUUUAAAUGGAAUGAACCAUUAAAUGAAACAACAGCAAAACAUGUUCAGGAAUUUUAUAAACUCGAUGAGGACAUUAUCCCAGAACUUAGAUUUUAUCGACAUUAUGCAAAGCUUAACUUUGUCAUAGAUGAUAAUUGCAUAAACUUCGUCAGUCUCGGCUGUUUGUUUAUUCAGCAUGGUCUUCACAGUAAUAUUCCUUGUCUCUCAAAGCUAUUAGAUAUUGCUUUGUCUUGGCCAAUUACUUCAGCAAGUACUGAGAACUCAUUUUCUACCCUGCCUCGUCUUAAGACAUAUUUAUGUAAUACCAUGGGACAAGAGAAGCUUACUGGCCCAGCCCUAAUGGCUGUUGAGCAGGAGUUGGUAAAUAAACUAAUGGAGCCUGAACGACUCAAUGAAAUUGUGGAAAAGUUUAUCAGUCAGAUGAAAGAAAUAUAAUACUUGCUCAUUUGAACUUACCUAAAAGACUUGUAUUUCCAUUGGGAUGUUUUCAUUUCAAAAUUGUUCAAAAUUCAAAAGACACAGAAUGAUAUACAGUGAAGUCUCCUUCCCUACUUUAGAACUCAUUUUCUCUUCCCAAACAGUGUUAUCUUUUCCUUAAAUAUCCCUCUAGAGAUAUUUUUCCUAAGUGGUAUUGUACGGUGUAUACUGUUCUUCAGCUUGUCUUCUCUGUGUAACAUAUUUUUGAGAUUGUCCCAUGUCGUUACAUGAAGAGUUUCUUGAUUCUUGGUCUAUAACUGCAGAUGUUAUUGUAUGAAUGUACUGUAAUAUAUUUGAGCAGUCCCUGCUGACAUUUUUUUCCUAACCUUUUGCUAUUAUAAAUAAUGAUUCAUUUUAUAACCUUUUAUAUAAGUCACAUUGCACAUGAGUAAGUUACUGUAAGCUGGAAAUCUAAAGUUAGAAUUACUAGGUUAAGAUACGUGCAUUUUUACUUUUGAUAGAUAUUGGCAAGUUGCCAUCUAUAAGGAUUGUGCCAAUUUACAGUCCCACCCACAAUGCAUGAGAGUGCCUAUUAAAUCUUUGUAAGUGUUA